UCUNUCUUAAAAGUUCGGGGCUUAACCCCGUGAUGGGAUGGAAACUGCCAAUCUAGAGUNUCGGAGAGGAAAGUGGAAUUCCUAGUGUAGCGGUGAAAUGCGUAGAUAUUAGGAAGAACACCAGUGGCGAAGGCGACUUUCUGGACGAAAACUGACGCUGAGGCGCGAAAGCCAGGGGAGCGAACGGGAUUAGAUACCCCGGUAGUCCUGGCCGUAAACGAUGGGUACUAGGUGUAGGAGGUAUCGACCCCUUCUGUGCCGGAGUUAACGCAAUAAGUACCCCGCCUGGGGAGUACGACCGCAAGGUUGAAACUCAAAGGAAUUGACGGGGGCCCGCACAAGCGGUGGAGUAUGUGGUUUAAUUCGACGCAACGCGAAGAACCUUACCAGGUCUUGACAUUGAUGGACAGAACCAGAGAUGGUUCCUCUUCUUCGGAAGCCAGAAAACAGGUGGUGCACGGUUGUCGUCAGCUCGUGUCGUGAGAUGUUGGGUUAAGUCCCGCAGCGAGCGCAACCCCUAUCUUAUGUUGCCAGCACUUCGGGUGGGAACUCAUGAGAGACUGCCGCAGACAAUGCGGAGGAAGGCGGGGAUGACGUCAAAUCAUCAUGCUCCUUAUGACCUGGGCUACACACGUACUACAAUGGGAGUUAAUAGACGGAAGCGAGAUCGCGAGAUGGAGCAAACCCGAGAAACACUCUCUCAGUUCGGAUCGUAGGCUGCAACUCGCCUACGUGAAGUCGGAAUCGCUAGUAAUCGCAGGUCAGCAUACUGCGGUGAAUACGUUCCCGGGCCUUGUACACACCGCCCGUCACACCACGAAAGUCGGAAGUGCCCAAAGCCGGUGGG
rnacentral:rRNA from 1 species